GACGAACGCUGGCGGCGUGCUUAACACAUGCAAGUCGAACGGAAAGGCCCUGCUUUUGUGGGGUGCUCGAGUGGCGAACGGGUGAGUAACACGUGAGUAACCUGCCCUUGACUUUGGGAUAUCUUCAGGAAACUGGGGCUAAUACAGGGUAGGAGCUCCUGCUGCAUGGUGGGGGUUGGAAAGUUUCGGCGGUUGGGGCUGGACUCGCGGCUUAUCAGCUUGUUGGUGGGGUAGUGGCUUACCAAGGCUGUGACGGGUAGCCGGCCUGAGAGGGUGACCGGCCACAUUGGGACUGAGAUAGGGCCCAGACGCCUACGGUAGGCAGUAGUGGGGAAUAUGGCACAAUGGGCGGAAGCCUGAUGCAGCAACGCCGCGUGCGGGAUGACGGCCUUCGGGUGGUAAACCGCUUUCGCCUGAGACGAAGCGUGAGUGACGGUAAUGGGUAAAGAAGCACCGGCUAACUACGUG
rnacentral:rRNA from 1 species